rnacentral:lncRNA from 1 species
CAUCUCUUUUCGUACUUAAGUCUAAUGUAAACCUUAAGAUUGUGUGAGUGAUGUCUAACCGACUUAAAUAUAAUUCAGAGAUUCAAGAAUAAUUGGAAUUGGAACUUAAGAGGACUUGCUGUAUUUCUUAUCUGUACACAUGAGCUGCACAGCAUGGGCAGCAAGCAGAAAGUUUUUAGCUGCUUUACAGGUCCACCUUUUAAGGCUAAUGUGAUUUUUAUACUUAACAGGAUGAAUUAUGUGGUCACUGGGAGGAAGACAAAGACCACUGGAAAACACCCACACAUAGACAGUGGACAAAGGAAGAAAGGUCACUGUUUUCUUCUCCUUUCUGACAUUCAGCCACUGGUUUAUCAGUUUGCUGCCAUGGCACAAGAAAGCGAGGGGAGUCAUCUUUCAGCCCUCCUCUGGAACUGGCUUCUCCCUCCUACAGACAGCCUUUCCCUUGCUGUAAAAUCUUUGUUUAAUGGCUGCAUUCAUUAUGCCGCUACAAAGACAGCUCCAUCUAAACGCAUAACUGAAUUGGAGCAAUUGAAUUGGAGAAAUCAGACAAAUACUGAACUGGAUUUUAUGAGAGAUUCUCUCAUGAAAGCGAAUUGA